GCCUGGGGCUCUGAGCUGGGGCUCUGGACUGUUCUAGAACAAUGGUUUUAAUGCAGGAUUAAUAGGAGGGUCUGGGCCUGUGUGCAGACCAGAGGCCCUCGCGGGUGGCUGGGGCUGGUAUGAUCCCAGUGCCUCUCUCAGCUCAACAGCAUGCUGGGGCUCAGCUGGGGAGCCUCUUGCACAGACCUCGCCUUUCAGCCUCAGUUUCCUCCGCAAUGCCUAGGAGCCUGGCCCAGCACACAGCUAGUCCCGAGUGCCGGGCAGAAGGGCAGUGGGUGGCAUGUGUCAUGCGGACCACGGUCACUCACAGAGAGCACAAUACCUGUUGUCAUUAGCCUUUGAAAACCUUCCCCCAGGUUGCAGUGGGUCCUGUGACCACAGCUUGCUGGGAUCAGGGAGGGUGGGAGCCAGCCAGCCAGCCUCUAGGGAGUAAUGUGACUGUAGCAGAUGGCCCACACCUUGGGGGCCCCAUGGGCCAGUUGCUCUGGAGUUAUGGCAAAGCAAGGCCUGUGUGCGCAGGGGGGUGCCUGGGAGCAGCCUCAGGAGGGCAGAGUGGUGCCUUCCUCUCCCUGCACAGCGUACUUCCACUGGAGUUGGGACUCCCCCCUUUCACAUCCCCUGGGGGUUUGGGAACAUUUUGGAAUCACUGACUGAGACUUGAGGUCCAGGAGCCCCUUUGUGGUCUUCCCUUCAGAACUGACCUUUUUGGGUAAACAUGGGGGUGUGGAUGGGGAGACUGAGGCUAGGGUGGAUGACUGAUGUCGCAACAGUGGGUUAUUGUGUCAGAUGCCCUCAUGCCACCACCUUGCUUUAAGGUAAGUCCUUGAGGGCAGGCCACAAAGGGAUGCCUGAACCCCAAGUCCCACCUCUAGAGAUCUGAAGGUAGUCAUGCAAAUUCCAGAGCCCCUCGGGGAUGUGGGAGGGUUCUGGGUGAGUGGUUGAUGAGAAGUCCUGGAUUGGGCCUGGCGCCGGGCACUGUGAGGGGGUGUGCAGAGCUGUCUGUGCUGGGAGCCCCCAUUCAGUCAAUUGGUGGCCCACCUUGUAUCCUUUCCCUCGUCCCCCUCCCCAGAAUCGUCCUGCAGGGCUUGGCGUGUAUGCCUGGCCUCAGGCUAGAUCCUCCCAGCAAGCCAGGGAGCCUCUUUGUUUUCAUUUGUUUGUUAAAUAUUAUUGUUAAAUAUUAUUAAACUUAAAAAAAUAAGUUUAUAUUUAAAGAAAAGCUGCAAAAUAGCGCAUUAAGGACCUGGACUUUCAUUCAGCUUUUCUUAGUGUUGUACUGUAGUAUAGCUAUCAAAACCAGCCGGUUAAUGUUGCCACCAUGGUCCAACUACUCCCCAGACUGUCUCCAGGUCCCCUGGUUCUCCCACUUAAGAGUUGUCUCCUGUUCCAGGACCCAGUCCAGAGUUCCUGUUACAUUGAUUCGUCCCGUCUCUGGUCUCCUCCAGUCUAUUACAGUUCCUGGGUCUGUCUUUCAUGACUGAAGCUCUUGAUGGUGCUGAUGAGUAGUUUUGUAGGCUGGCCCUCUUGGAGACGACACAUUCUUUGCAAGAGCCUUUCUCUCCUUCUUGUACAACAGUGGACUUAAGAAAAACAUUAAAACAGUGCUGGACUCAGGCAGAGUCCACCCAGUGCAGGAAGAGACUCGGACCCAGGCAAGAGCCCUGCCGUACCUGGGUGUUCACAACCUGCUCACCUGCUUGGCCUACGAGCUGUGCCUGGCCUUCUCCUUGUGACUGAGGCCUCUUCUAAACAGGCCCCUGUCCAGCUGGGUAAGCAGGAGUAGGCUAGGGCACCACUUAUCCACCCUGCAUGCAGCUCCUCGAGAGAGAAUGUCAUCCACUUCCCAUGACGGGGGCUACGAGGUGGAACCCAGUUUGACCCCUGACCUGGAGGCCUGUCUCUGGAGGACGCAGUACCCAGCAUUUGAACCUCUACCCCAGGCUGUCUGCCUUUUCCUAGGCAAGGCAUAGGCACCUGGGUGUUGGGCCAGGCAUGCCCCAGGGCCCUGUACUACACCCACUGCUUGCCUGUUCCUACCUUUAGACUCUUAUGAUCUGAGGCAGCCUAUCUCUGGUCUCCUACCCUAGGGUGCCUCUCUGGAUUUGGUCCCAGGAGGGAGCCCCACCCUCCCAGGACCUAGGGUAUUGGAUGCUGGCAGCUCCCGGCCUCCUGGCUAUCAGCCUGGCUGAACUGUGAAGAUGGAGAAGCUGUCCAUCUCAUUAUCAAGAGCAUGAACUUUAAUUGUGUUUGAGCAGCGCGAGGCCAGGUGUGGAAGAAGAGGAAGCAAGAUCGAUGGACCAUGGCGAGAGGUGUCUGAGUACCCAAUUAGGUCAUGUCCAGGAUUUGCUGUCCCUCUCCAGGGUGGGCAGCCUUGUCCCCAGGGUUGUCUUCUGCCCUGGCAUUCUGGAUUCUGUCUGUCUACUCAGGCCUGUCCAAGAGCUCCACAGCUGAGGGACUCUGUGCAUGCUGCUGACCAGCCCACCUCUUUUUGCUCAGCCAGAAGUGAGUUUGUGCCCAGGGUGGCCAUCUCCACCCUCUGAGGCCUGGCCUGAAGACCCCAAGAGGAGGUGGGGGGCCUGCAGCCACACAGUAAGGCCCCUGGCAAGUGGUGGCAAGUCAAGACUCCGACAUCCUCAUGCCACUCCUUCCUUAUCCCUCUCUGAGUCCUGGCUUCCUAGUUGUGCUGGAUGAGACCGUGGAUUCAACGGGCUGUGAGGCGUUCUGCAAAUGGACAUCCCUGUGGCAAGGGUGAAUGGCUUUGGGAACCUCUCUGUUGUCCCGGUUGCUAAUGCUGAACCUGGUUGGUCCUGAAGCACUGCCCUUCUCAGCCCUGCGGGGGCCCCCAACACCCCUGGCUCUUGUGUCUCCUUCCUGUAGGGCCUUGCCUCUUCUCUGCUCUCCCUCUGGCCAUCCCCUCAGUUCUCUGAGGACCCGUGUGGCUCUCGGUCCUGUCUGGUCCCUGGAGUCAUUCAGUCCUCCCUCCUAUCCCCUCCUGUGGCUCCUCUGGGUGGGUGGCCCACCCCUGUCCCCCAGGUGGGCCCUGAAUGACCUUUCCCUGUUUGGCCAAGAUGUGAUAGGGUGGCUGUCACUGCAAAGGAAACCCAGUGCCAGGACUCAGCCAACAUGCACGUUCCUUCUUGCCCUUUAGUCCAGCCUCCCACCUGCUGAGGAGCCCCAUGGAACUGAAUUGUGCUAAAACUCAGUGGCAUGAAAAAGCCACCAUGGAGUUCAACAUCAGGAUGUAGACACAGCUCAUUGGGGUUGGGUAGUAUCUACUCUGCUGUCUGGAGCCUCCAGUGGGAAGACUUGAGAGGCCAAGGGUGACUUGGACAGCUGGAGGCUGAAGACUCUUCCACUCUGCCUCUGAUAACGUGGGCUGGGAUGUCUCAGGCCAGGCUCAGCUGCACUGUUCAUUGGAUUGUCUCCAUCUGGCCACUUUGCACAGCUUGGGCUUUCCCACAACGUGGCCGCCCCACGUGCUCAGACUUCUCGUGUGGCCCUUCAGUUCUUCUUGUGUGUGUUGCAGUCAUGGAAGGUACACAGUGUCACUUCCCUUGGUGCUUUGUAGUUAAGUGAUCGAAACCUGCCUGGUUCAAGGGGAGGGACCUGGGUCCCACCACCAGUGACAGAAGCAUCCAGGGAUCCAAGGCCAUGGUUUAAGCCCCCCAAGGACCUUAGAAUAAUCUGGUCCCUGUGCUGGUUACAGUGGUCAAAAUUGCUUGCCUCAAAAUUUAGGGAUGAAAUCUGGUUACUGUGCUUGCAGGCUCAGUGAGUCAGGAUUGCAGCAGGGCCAAGCCACAGCUUCUCUGCACCUUGAAGCCUUGAGGUAAGGCUUGAACCCAUGGCGACUGGUUCUAGCCCCUCCAGCAUCCUGGCCCUGCUGCCUGUUGGUGGAGGUUGACCUGGGGUCUCGGCAGGACUCCAUACCAGUCUCUUCUAGUGUCGUGUUUCGGGAUCACGUCUUGACAAGGAGCCAGCCCUGUUUUGUUUUCUGGCCUUGCAGAUUGUGCAGCAUCUCUGCCAGGUUCUGUCUGUCCAGGACCAGGAGAUGGACCAUCAUCCCCAGUUGGCAAGCCAUGCCAGUGUCACUUUGCAGGACGAGUGAGUGGGUGGUUCGUAUCACUGUCUCUGGGAGAUGCAGCCCUCUGUGCUUGUCCCCCAGCAGCCUGGCCUCCUCCUGGCCCUGGGACCUGCUGGACCUGCUUCCACCCUUUGCACUUGACCCUUGGCCUGAAGCCUUGCUCCGUACACUGGAGCAGCUCCCUUCACCAGUGGGCUCAGACUAGAGUGCUGCCCGCCUCCGGAGCCCACCCUCCUGAGCUCUGUGGGACGUUCUUUGAUUGCCUGGGUACUAUUACUGCCUUUUGUUGGAGCAUAAGCCCCAUGGAGUCUGCAGUUUGGCAUUUCUGGUUAUUGUUUUCCUGGCACGGCAGAGGAUCCUGACACCAGGGGUGCCAGUGACCAUUUGUGUGGAAACAUGCAGGUGGGUGGAGGUCUGAGUGCCAGGUAGGUAGGUGAGGGUGUCUGUGGGAACUCUGGGAGUGGGUGCUGCUGCUGCUGUGGGCACAGCUUGGGCCCACACAAGACCCCUGGGGGUGGGUGUGCAGGGGCUGAGGUUAGCAAAGGAGGAGCAGAGGCUCAGGGGUCACAGCUCAUGUGUGGACGAGCUCACGGGACUCUCGGCCAGUUGGCCUGGCUUCAGAACAGGGCUGUGCCGCUGCGAUGCUCUCACAGCUGCCUCGUGGUUAGUCCCAUUUCAGAGGAGGAAAGAGCCAGCCCACGAGGCCAGCCACCCCUAUGGUGUGACUUGACCCCUGGCCACAGGUGCUGCACCAGUCUGCAGGAUAGCAGACUCUGACUUGUCCCUGGGCCAUGAGGUUGAAGAGAUGGACACGUGGCCCUGGGCCACUGCGCAUAUGUGACAGCCCUGUGGCACUGUCCAGCUCCCUGGCCUCUGCCCAGCCUACUCUGCCCACUGGCCAGAUGCUGCAUGUGCUGCGUCCCCUCACCUUGCCCGUCUCACCUGCUGGAGUGUCCUAGCUGUCCUGUCACCCAGCUCAGGUGCAGGCGCUGAGCAUAAUACCAGCAGCAUGUUGCCGUGGCUACCUGGCAGGCCCAGGAGGGCGGAGGACCAGAUGAGGAGGCUGCCUAGAGCCCCAGCCGCCCUCCCUGCACUGGGCGCACACAGCUGGUGGCAGGGGUGUGAUUGGUGUGGCUACUGUCAGCUAUGGGUAGGUGAAUAAAAUAAGUAAACAGAAUUUGACUAUUCCGUUAAGUGCAAUUGUGGGUCGAUGGUGCCAGGAUUCUAACUGAGGAGAGAGUAUGUGAUUGAGACAAGUGCAGUGGUGUUCUCUUGUCCGUAAAAGCAGAGGAAACAUACCACACGUGUGUGCAUGAGCACACACAACACACAUAUGCCGAGGUUUUAUUAUGUCCGUGUGAGGUGGCUCCGUGGUAGCAGUGAGGGGAGAUUCUAUGAGAGCACUCAGGAGUUCUGGGUUUAGAGGAAUCAUGAUUCCAGCCUUUACCAAGUGCUGGUGUUGGCCAGUUUCCCAUGGCCUCCUGCCUCCAGCUGCCUGUGUCAGCAUGUGCAGCUACAGCACCUGGCCGCUAAUCCUGCCCUGGGCCUGCUUGAUGCCCCAGAGGGCUCCCUCCUGGGCAGCCCCUGAUCCAGGUGGGAGGGUGUUAGGGCUUGUAGGUCCCUUGUCCUUAGGCCCAGUAUCGACCUGUGUCACUCCAGACCUCAAGGCAGACUUCUGCCUGGGAAUGGCUCCCACCCUGUCUCCAGGUGUAUGUGGGGGCUGGGCCUCACUGGGAUCUGCCCAAUGCCCAUGUGGUGAUGGCAAUCAGGGGGAUCCCUUCUGGACCAGCUGCCCACCUCAGAUCGCCCUGGCACCAUGGGCCCACUAGAGACGCACGGUCUAGGUCCCACCUGCCUGGUUCUGCUAUCACUGCAGGUCCAUUUGGGGCCCCUCAUCCCUCUGUUUCGCACAUGGCAUUGGGUGCUGGAGGGGGAGACGUAGCUGGGAAGCCAUGCCUUAUUCCUGGAGAAGGGGAUGAAAGCAAAUGUUCACCUUCCUGAGGGAGCUCCUGCAGAGGGCCUGGGGCCUCGGGGCACCCAGGGCCACAGGGGCUGUCUUCAGGGCACGGGUGCCCAUUCCUGUUCAUCCUGGAGGCCAGAUGGGGCUCCUCCGAGAGCUCGUGUGGCUGGGUUCACCUGUGCUCUGAGCAGCACCAGGAGAUCCCCACAGCCACGGUGGUGUCCUGGCCUCCUGGAGGUGGCCUGGGUUGCAGGCCUCACGUGGGGACAAGGGACAAGGAGGGGUCUGUGGCCUCAGGCUCACCAUGCCGUGCCUGCAGGCCUCUCUGUGUCAGUGGAGGUGGGACCUGAGGCGCCCCGGCUGCUCUGCUGGCCCCAGGGCAGAACCGAGGUUUCCUUUUGUCCAAGAUGGUUGGUGUGCAUUGAUCAGGGAGCCCCACGGAGGGUCUGAGCAGUGUGAGCAGGCCUUCUGUGUCCCAUAGAGAAGGCGGGGGACGUGGGACUGGCCUUGCUCCUGCACCCGCCGCUGCCCUGCCUGCUGAGCAGCAUGGUGAGGAGAAGGGAGCCCGGGAGGAAGGGGCUCUUCCUGUGAAAGCUCACGUGGGACUCCAGGCCGGCCAGUAGAACAUCUGGUGUGGCCCUGACGGCAGGGGUCAGAGCCCUUGCUGGGGCAGUCUUGGUCACUCUUCUGGAAGCCACUGCCUUCUCGCAGUCUGUGUCCCCCGCACCAGCCCUGGGUGUCUGUGUGUGUCCCCGCACUACUGUGGUACAAAUUAACUUCCCAUGUGUCCGAGCUCAUGCCAGUGGACAGUUGUCACUGUUCCCAUGCCCCUUUCUGCUGAGUUCAGCAGGAAUAGACUGAGUCCUUUGCUGUGCCUGUCCUCUGUCCUCUGUGACAGAGCUUGCUGGGGCCCUGACAGGUGCUGUGUGUGUGGUUAGUUGGGCCCGUGGGGACCUGGCUGGGGCACCCACAGCCCGUGAUAGACAGCGAUGGCCAGGCAGUGGCAGCCAACAUGCAGCCAGACCUAGCCACAGCUGAGGGCACCCCGGGCUGUGCAGAAGGCCCACAGCAGCCGCAGCACACCCACUGUGAACUGGAGAGCAGCCUCAGCCACCCCACCUCCAGUGAGCUCACGACCCACAGCGAAAGCCCUUGUGCCCUGUUGGUGCGUCAGGGGUUGGACCCGAGGACGCCCAAGCUCGUCCCCCCUGCUGAAGGAGUCGGUGCUCCCAGGCAGAGAACAGCUAGUGCAGUGAGCAUGUGGAGCUGUGGGGAGAAGCAGGCUGGGCUGCGGGAAGGACAGCUGCUCUGCUUCCACCUGCCAGUAGCCUGGGCCUCCUGGGCCGUGGGGUCCCUAGGCCUGUGGUCCUGCCCUUGAUUCUCCUCCCUGCCCCUGAUUUUCUCCAUGUCCCCUCACUAAGGCUGGGGCCUAUAGGCUGGGCAGGGGCUCUGAGCCCUACCUCCUGCAGGACAGCCCGGCACCCUGAUACCAGUGACCCUCUGCAGCUCCUGCUCGUGGAAAGAAGCGCUCGUGCGUGCACGUGAAGCCUGUCCCUUCUGGCCCCUGCACCAUGGGAAGUCCUGGGCACCGCCAGCUCCCUGUGGGUGACUGAUGUGUAGGUAGGGACUGGGCUUGGGUUGGCCUUGGGUUUGGGUGCUGGCUCUAGCAUUUCCUAGCUGUGUGUCCUAUGUAAGCUGCCCUCUGUGCGACAGCUUGCUCCCCUGCCCUCUCUGUGGAGUGAACUGCCUGGUGGGGAGAGGCGUGACUUGCAGCCUGUGGAGCCCAUAGGAAGGCCUCAGGAGUCUGCCACCCAGUGUAGCCAAGGCCGGGCUUGGGGCGCGGGCCUUGGCAUGGGCAGUGACCAGAGCCAGGCUUGGUGCUUGGCAGGGUCAGCGCCUGCUCUUUGAAAGAGCUGUGUCAGUAACCUGGAAAUCUGCGGAGGUGGGAUCAGUCUGCGGCCUGGCUGAACAAGGAGCCCUCAGCUUGACAUUGACGUCUCCAUCCUAGGCUGCACUCACAGCCAGGAACCCCAUUUCUAGAGCAUGUGGUUGUAAGGAGAAGCCUAGAAACUGUCUGGGUCUGGGGCUAGCCAGCACCAUCCUCCUGACUGGCACCCUCUGGGUGCCACAGACCCUAGCUGAGCCGAGAGCCCAGCCCCAUGCUCCUCAGCACCCUCCCGGCCAUGGCCAUUCCCACAGAGCAGCCACACACCCCUGCUCCAUAUUUAAGCCCAGUAAUUGAAUUGCAAUUGAUAGUACAUGUCGGUUUAAGAUCAUGCUAAUUGCUUCAUUUCCCAGAACACUCCUAAAAAGAAAAUGAAUUUCCCUGUAAUAUUUUCAGUGGGGUGAAAUGACCCUUGUGGAAAUCAAUCCUGGCUCUAGAAUGAGCUGCAGAGUGAGUGGGCGUGCUGGGGCGGGGCUGUGGCUCCCCUCCUGCAGCCUCAGCAGGCAUGAGGAGCUUUCCCGGCCUGAGAGUAAACCCAGCCUCGUGCCAGGCACCGUGUGAGGCUUAGCAGGGCUGUGCCUGUGUAGGCUCUGUGAGCUGGCCUGACUCGGAGGGGACUGGUCUCCCAGGGUCUCAGCACUGGCUAGAGGAGAAACUGUCCCUGUGUGAACGUCAUUCAGGAAUGGUGGGGUGUCCAGGAGUGGGCACAGGGGACAGAAUUCCUACCCGGAAAGGCCAGGGUGAUCCUGGGGCCUCUUGAGUCCCCCCUUCCUCCCUGUCCAUUGGGGCUAGGACUUCCCUUUUGGUUGGUGCCAGCUCAAAAGUGGCAGUGUGCACCCUUCUCUUGACACAGUCUGAUGUAAAAGGUCAUGGAGGUAUGGCCAUGUCCCUUACGAUCCUCAUGGCCACUUUGCUGGGCAGAAGUCAGGGUGAAGCCGGACAGUGUAAAGGAGGCAAAGGACCAGCGUAACAUGCAACAUGGAGGGACCAAGUCCUCUGGCCCUGGUGUCCACUCCCUUGCCCGGUUCUCCAGCUUCCCAGAGCCUCAGUGCUUGGAUGUCAAUGGGGCUGCCGCCCAUGGCCUACUCGACCUUCAUCCACCACCGGCCCACCUGCCCACCCAUCCUAUUCAUCUAUCCCACUCUGCCAAUUUGCUGAGCAGCACCUGUGUGUUGGCCCCUCCUUGAUACACAGAGGGGCAGGUGUGCUGUGUCCCAGGUGAGUGGGGAUGGGGUAUCCAUAGGAGUGCAGCCCUGCAGGUGGUGUGGCCAAAGUGCUCUGUGCUGGACACUUUCUGGCCUGCUUCUAUCAGGCUUCCACCAGUGUUGGGGAUAUGAUGUCCUGCACUAGACCACACGUGCCCAGGCAGACCCUGGUGCUCGUGCAUGCAUUGAGAAGCUUGUGGCACUGGGGUGCUUGGAGAGCUUGGGGCUUGGCCUGAGAGCAAGAUAGCGGAGCAUUCAGACUCUGCCCCACCUCUGACCUGGGGCAGCCUUGGCCUGAACUUACCUUUUCUGGGCCUGACUCUGCCCAUUCUGGGCCCAGAUUGCUCCUCUGACAGGAAGAGUACAGACCAACUGAUCACUAGUUCCCAUCUGGCCCAGGGCUCUCCAUAUACGGUGUCCUUAGUCUCUGUGCCUGUAGCACGCUGCCCCUAAUGCAGCUCCAUCCUGUUUCCUCAGAGCAAUUUGCUGGACGUGAACCAGAUCAUCAAGGACUUGGCCUCCAUGGCGUCGGAGCAAGGAGAUGCCGCUGGUGGGUACCCACUCUACCCUCAGGCCACGUAGCCCCAGCUGGCUCUUCCCCCAGGUGUGGGCACAGCUGCCUAAAGAUGACGGAGGCCCAGAAUGGCUUCUGCCUGGCUCUCCUCCUGCUCCACCUCUACCCUGGGCCUUGCACUGACUAGGGACUCUCUGGAGUGAAGGCCAGCUGCCUGGGACAGGUGACUGCAGCAUGGCCCUGAGGAUACGGAGGGUGGGGGCCUAGAGCCCCUUAGAGUCUGGUGCUGUCUCCAGUGACUGUCAGGAGCCAUGUGUGCCUCUGGGAAAUGGGUGUGCCUGAGCUGGGUGGAACAGGGGCAGUGGCUGGGCCUGCGGGCCUGGCCAGGGCAUGGUAUCCCCCAAACCCCUCACUCCAAAGGAACUGGGCCAGCUCUGCCAAUGGGUCAAAGGUCAAAGGCCCUUGUCCCUGGAGCUGCCCUGCUUCUCAGGAGGAAAUAAGAAGCAAGGCCAAGGCCGAGGCCCAGGCCUGUCCCUUGCUGGUGAGGGUUGCUGGGGUCGUGUGGAGCAGGGAGGCUUGAGGGUCAUGUCACAGUGUCCUCACCCACUGCGAGAGAGGGGCCUUCUCUAACAGAAGGGACACAGACCAGAGAGGCCUGGUGGCAUCCGCCCAGGCCCUCUGCUACCCCAGCCCUUCUGCUCUGCCUUGCUGUGGGGUCACCUUUGACCUCCCCAGAGAGGACCUCCCUGUCUUCCUCUGUGCUCCACAAGUUCUGGCCCCAGCAACUGGCCAUUUAUAUUUGGACAAUUUUUUUCGGGGUGGGGGGGGUACCACAGAUUGAAUUUAGGGCCCUCAACUACUGAGCCACGUCCCCAGCCCUAUUUUGUAUUUUAUUUAGAGACAGGGUCUCACUGAGUUGCUUAGCGCCUCGCCGUUGCUGAGGCUGACUUAGAACUUGCCAUCCUCCUGCUUCAGCCUCAUGAGCCGCUUGGAUUACAGGUGUGCACCACUGCACCUGGCACACUGGACAAUUUUAAGUGUUCAGACCUUCCUCUCCGCUGGGCUCUGUGCCUGCCUAGUUAGGUCUAGGGCAUUUUGAACAUGAAGUGGUUACUCUGAUCACUUUCCUUCUGGACUGAGCGAGGUGCUGGCUCCAUGGGUGGCCUCCUUGCUUGUGCAGAGCCCUGGGGGCACAGGGACACUGGUGUCAUUACCCAGUGUGGUAGAGGCCCUGUGCCCACCUGAUUUGGGGCUGGGGUGCACAGGUGGGGACUUUAAGGGCUUGCUCACAUGUGGGCCAUCCUGUUGCCCCAGGGGUGCCAGCCUUCUCCGUAGCUGCGGCCACCCAGAGUUCUGGCCCCAGCUGCAAGGUGGAGACGCCCUGGCCAGGGCAAUGGUCCCCUCGGCUUGGUUGCCCUCCAGGACCCAGACUCCUGCACUUACUCAUCUGCUUCUUCCAUCCCUGACAGCCAUCCCCUCACCCGGGCCUGUGCCUCUAACGAGGAGCAAGCGCCCCGAGCUGGGUGGGCCCUGGCACCCUUCUGGAGCUCUGCUGCUCCCAGGUCGGUGGAGGCCUGAGCCAGGAGCCUAAGCCUGGCAGCUGCCCUCCCUGUUGCUCCUGGACUCACCCUGUACCCCUUCAGAGCCUGGGCUCCCAGCAGGGCCUGCUCUGGGCAUGGCACUUGCUGAGCUGCCUCGUCACUGCUCCCAGGACCCGCCCUAUCCCUCUUCCCGUCUCCUUGCCUUCUGUCUGCCUCUAAAGUGGCCACCGCCCACUGCCCCCUGGGGCUGGCUGGCUGGGCUGGAAUGUCAGAGUGUGUACAAUGGCUUGUCCACCCUAAGGCCACCCAGUCCCCGUAAUGGACCCAUGGGAGAGCUGUGGGGAGCGGAACAAGCCAGGGCUGACCUGCACAUGGGCAGGGGAGUCACCUAGAUAGCUGGCAGGCAGGAGCUUCAAGAGUCGCCAGAUCCCCAACUGGUGGGUGUGGGUCACCUGUAUGUAGGACACUGAUGUGGGGACCUGUGAGGACCAGGACCACAGGCCUGGUGGCACGCUGUCCACAGUCUCUGCCUAGUGCUCAGCCUCUGGUGCCUUUCCAGGGUCCAGCAGCAGGAAGGCCACCAGCCGGCAGACCUCCAGCCCCGAGCCAGCAGAGGCAGCCCUGCUACCAGGGGUGGGGCUGGGCACCACACCCCUGCGGCCCAGCAGCCACUCCCGCACCAAGACACGCAAACCCAACUUCAGUCCCCAGGAGACAGAGGUGCUGGUGCGGAGGGUGGCACGCCACUACCCACUGCUGUUCGGGGCACUGCGGAGCACACCUGCUCGGAAGCACCACGUGUGGAGCAGGAUCCUACAGGCUGUGAAUGCGCUGGGCUACUGCCGCCGUGACCUGGGUGACCUCAAGCACAAAUGGAGGGACCUACGAGGGGCCGUGCGCAAGAAACUGGCAGAGAGUCCGGCUCCUGGAUUCAUCCUCACACCUGUGGAACGCAUGGUGGCUGAGACCUUCUCGACCCCAGCCUCCCAGGGCAAGAGCCAGGCAACAAGUAAGUGGGCCCCUCCCCACAGCCCACCCCUGGCCUAGCCUGGCCUGGCCUGGCCUGGGCAGUGAGCUGGCUGGCUUCCGGUGCACAGCCCCCAAAGAACGAGACUCCAGGGGAGUGCUGGGGGCCUGAGGAGACGGCUCAUCCCCCUCCCGGCCCCUCGGCUCCUGGGUAGGAAACCCAAGGCCCAGGCCCAGGCAGAGGCCUGCUCAUUUGGGGAGGAGGGGUCAGGUUCAUGCUGGCCCUGAGCUCACGGUCCACUGGGACUUUCCCCAGCCUUGGCAUAGUACAGCAAGGGGACCCUCAAAUCCAUCUCAAAAACUGAAGUCACUCAAAGCCCCUGGGUCUCAUGUGGCCUGGGGGGUCAGUGCCUUUGCCACCACCACUGGCGGCAGCAGCUUGGGGAGCUUAGACCUGCUGCUGGGCUCAGGGCUCCACGGCAGCUGCCACCUUGAGCCAUGGCCACAGCAGGGAGCUGAGUGCCUCCGUCCCUUCCCUGGUAUCUAGAGAGGACACUGGGGCCCCAUGGCCCCGUUUCCCCGUCACUCUAGAGAGACAAGUUCCAGGAUGGUGAAGGCAUCCCUUAGAUAUACAGGGCCCUACUCUGUGUAUCUAAGGGAGGUGCAAAGACUGAGGUCCAGGGGCCUGGCUGAGCAGCCCAGGCCCAAAGCCCAGGCACAGUCUCCGAGGCCCCGCUCCUCUCUGCCAUGUCUGCUGCGUCUGGUGUGGUGCGGCUGGGAGGCCUCUUUGGCCCCAGGCCAUUGUCCACUCUGUCUUCUCAGGAGUGCUCAUGACAAAGGUCAGGGCAGUGACUGUCCUUAGGCCACCAAGUGUUAAUAGCAGAGGAACCAAGCAAGGCAGCAAGCUUGGGUGGCCACAGGCUUGAAGAUGUGGCUGUGGCUGGGAGGAAGGAGGCUGCCCUGCAUAGCUCCCUCCUCCUCCAAGCUGGACCAGGCCUGGAGUGAGAGUGCCCAGGGUUGAUGCCAUCAGAUGGCAAGCCACCAGCAGGUGGAGGCUGCCUGGCCGGAGCCACGUCCAGCCACUAACCUUUGCUGUGCCUUUUGGUGUCAGAGGUGGCCUCUGUGUUGGUGAAUGCUGCUGGAGAAUUUGGCCAGAGCCAGGAGGAGCCCAGGCCAGUGCCUUCCCGCCUCAGCCUGCCUUGUCCGGGCCUGGGGAGCAGGACUGCGUGCCCUCCUCAGCAGGCCCUUCAGAAUCGCUCUGGUGCUCUUGGCCUCUCAGAGCGCUUCUUCUGCUGGGCUGCUCCAGGAACCACCUUUUCCAGAAGUCUCUGUUCUUGGCUGGGCCUGUCCUGCAGCCCACACUGCCUCUGAGCCCUCCCAUGAUGCGGGCUCGGGUGCUGUCUCCACUCUGCCUCCUCUGCUGCCCUCCUCCUCACCACCCUGCCUCACAGCCAGGCCUGCUGGACUCUCCUCCUGGGAAGCUCUGGAAGGACGUGGGGAUGGAGCCAGGAGUAAGAUGAGCCUUCUCAGGGUGGGGCAGCCAGCAGGACCCCACCUCAGACGGACCAGCAGGAGGUCCUGGGGGGACUCGGAGCCGUACCUGCUCUGAUCCUUCUCUUCUGUGGUGCCUGCAGCUGGGACACGUGGGCAAGGCCAGGCCUGGCUGGGAGACGUGUAGGUCCAGGACAGGUCUCGUGCUGGGCCUCAGGAUGCACAGGUCCUGAUAGGCCUGGGGAGGCCAGGGGUAUGGGACUAUUACCAUCCCCAGGGAGGCCUCGUGCCUUCUCCUUUAAGGCAGAGGCCUGCCGCUGUGUUCCUGAGGCAGGCUUGGGUGAUUCAGGCAAGGGUGUGCCCUGUGGGGCCUGGGUGUUCAGGUACUUUCUGCAAGUCCCCGACCUGGAGGGCAGCAGGAACGCUGGAGUAUACCCUGCAUCCCCUGCCCUGGGUGAGGCCCAGCCCAGCUUCCUUCAUCCCUGAUCGAUCAGCCGCAGCCCCUAUGGCCUUGUAGCCCUGGUUCUCCUAACGGAGGAGAAGCUUCUGUGGUGCCCAGGAACCUCUUGUGAGAUGGUCUGCAUGCCUCUGAUGUUUGUUGAAUGAAAUGACUGUGUGGGAGGAGCAGACUUGCCCUGAUAGGCACUGAGGCCAGAAGCAGGGAAGUAGCUGCAGGGCCGGCAGUGGGGUGGGAGUGCCCCCCGAUCAGUGCCAGCCUGGGGAAGCAGGACUCGUCCUCUCUUCAGCAGGCCCUGUCCAAGGGUAGCCUCUGGGGCUUAGACAGGGCCGGGCCUGGGGGCCUGGGGAAGUGAGCUGCCGAGCUCAUGGAUUUCCAGUUUCUGUGCUCCGAGGCUGCUGACAGGUGCACUUGCCCAGGGGCGCCUCCGGCUCUCUGCAUUUGUCCUGAGGGGUGGUUGGUGACCAGUGCCAUCUUCUUUAGCCCCUGGAGGCCUGCACAGCCCUUGGGCUUUUCAGAGGCUGUCUGAGGUAGAGCAAGUCCCACAUGCAGCGCCCUGUGCCAGGAGACAGGAGGGUGCCCUGUGGACCUGGAGCCUUCAAGGCAAGGCUUCUGAGCUGUCAGAGAGCCACCUGGCCAUGCCCCAUACAGCCUGGGGCUUAGGCAGGGCCGGGCCUGGGGGCCUGGGGAAGUGAGCCGCAGUUUCUGUGCUCCGGGGCUGUUGACAGGUGCUCUUGCCCAGGGGCGCCUCCAGCUGUCCUUCCUGCUUCCUUCUCUGGCUGCCCUCUGAUGUGACAGGACACUUUGAGUUUGGGGCAGCUGCAGCCUGCCCAGAAGAGGAAGAGGUGUGCUGCAGCCUUGUUGCCCCUUCCCUCCCCGUGCUGGGCUGUGUCCUGGAGACCUGUCGCCCUGUAGCCUGGCCUUGACUGGGUUGGAGGGUGGAGCAAAAGUAGAGACUGGGGGCUCAGGUCUGCCUGAGGCCUAGGGGUUUCUCAAAGGUAGGGCUCCAGGGAUGAGGCCGCCUUCUCUCAUAGAGCAGCCGCCCCCGCUGGAAGGCUGGGAGUCGCCGCUCCCUCUGCAGGCCCCAUGGGGCUGGGGGCACACGCUGCAGCGGCUCAAUGGCCCUCGGCCUCCUGGGCCAUAGGUGGGCCCUUUGCAGUGGGUGUCCGCUGCCUGAUUCCCGAGGCAGGCCUUCCGACCGCUGCCCCUCCCACAAGGACUUCACGUGUCUCAGGCGAGUGCCUGCCUCUGCUGGCCUCUGGGGCCUGCCGCACUGGGUGUUGACUGCCCUCUGCCCCUGUGUGGCCUGAGUUUGCCCAGUGGAGUCAGGACAACUGGACGUGCCUUCUGCCAUGUGGUGCUACUUCUUGGCCACUGCCUGGUGUAAAAUUUGUCCCCAGGACUGGGCCCAGGCCGUGCCUUCCCAAAGCCACUGGUCCCCAGCCAGCCCCAUGCUCUUUGAAUGGCCUUGUUGGAACCCAGCCACCGUAGAGUCCCACGUUCACAGCCCUGUCCUCUCAGCGGCACUGCAGGACCUGUCCCUGAGGGGGGCCAUGGCCAGAUGGGAGGCCGCCCGAGGCAGCCGCAGGCGGCUCUGGCUUUCCUCUUCACUCUUUCCUGAGGGGCUUUCCCCUGCCGCCUCCAAAGUCUGCUUCCCCAAGGACACUUCCAGGCCCUGGUCCUUCUCUCAAGGCCGAACACUGUCCACACCAGGGUGAUCCUUGAGUGGGCCCUGAGCCGCAUCCCUGCAGCCUCUGACCCUUUAGAGGCUGGACCUCGUUUCUUGAGUGUGCAGCCCACAUGGGAAGGAGCUCAGGGGCGGAUGCACGUCCAGCCAACCUGGGCUCGGGCUCCCCUGGGGCUCGGGCUCCCCGGGGCUAGCUCAGGUGAUGUAGGCUGGUCAAAACGUGGGCCUCCACCUGGUGACCGCCUUCUGCUGUGGUGACUUGCAGAUAGUACUGCAGCAGCACGUGUGGAGGCGGCCGGGGAGCCCCGGGCUGGGCUGGGCUGCCAUACCAAGUAAGUGGGUCUGAGGGUAGGAGCGCUGGCUGGCCCAGCCUCGGUCCCUUUGUCCCUCACCCAUCUGUCUGGGAAGCCAGGCCCUGCCUGUGCCUAGAAGGGACAAGCCCAUGGUCUUCUUUGAGUCAGGCCACUGGCUUACGUGUGGGCACUGGGAGGGGGGAAGAAGGGACAGAGCCAUGGUCUGAGUGGCUCCCGCAGUGGUCAGCACCAUCUCCUCUCAUUUGGACUCCCCACCACCUUACCCCUCAGCUUCCUCACCCGCCUGGCCUACAAGGUGGUGGUUAGGUCUGUAACUGGCACAGUGGGAGCUGGCCAGUGGGGUGUGGGCAUAGCGUGGCUGUGCUUCCGGGGAGGCCGGUGCACUGUGGUCCUCACUGGCAGGCUGCCCUAGGUAGCCCUGACCCCCUUGUCCCAGGAAGGCUGGCCGGCUCUGCCUGUCUGCCCUUCCUGAGCGCUCUCCAGGCCUCACUGUGGGGUGCUAGCCUGGGGCUCUGCAGCUGCCUGGGGCUGCUGCUUGGAGGUGUGGGUGGGUUUUAGGGAGGGAGACAAACCUCCACUGUUGCACACGAGCAGGACCCAGAGCAGACUUGAGGGCCACCAUCGCCUUGUGCCCACCACCAUGAGGAGGGCCUGACCGCGCCAGGCAGGCUGGAGACCUUAGUCCAGCAGGAAGGAGGGCCAGCAGCCUUGUCCCCUGGCUCACUUGCUCACUGUGUUCCUUUGGUCCCUGCUGGCUCCUACAAGCAGAUCCUGUCCCUUGAGUUUGUGUCCCAAGGACCAGACAGGUGGGCAUUCAGUCUGGACAUGGGGGUGGUGGGGUACCCUGGGAGUUCAGAGGCCCCCCAGGUUGGCUGGGGUGGGAGGGCUCCCCGGAGAGCACACACCUGCUGCGGCUGAGCCGAGGGAAGGUCUGCUGAGUCCUGAGGACAGGCCACUGCAGCCCGCUCCAGUGAGGAUGGUCGUGUGAGGGCUGUGACGAGGGAGGGGCAGCCACAGUGCCUUGCUUUCCUGGGGGUCUGGGGAAUGCACUGUGCUUGGCAAAAGCCCUCGGUGGCCUUGGAGAGCAGGAAACGAAGAGCCUUGGUGGGGAGAAGGUAGAGGCGAGGUGGGGCUUGCUGCCCCCAGGCUGAGGCUGACCUCCACGCUGGGGUGGGUGGCUGCAGGCCUCGGCUGGCAUUCAGCAGGAAUGUGUGACGGAAUGAUGGUCAGGGCCUGGUCACAGCUGCCUUCCCCCAUUUUCCAUCAUGGCCAUCAGAUUCAAGGUCAGUGUGGCCAGCGGUGGCCCUUUGUGAUGGCUGGUGAGUGGGACUGGGGCACCUUGGGAUGGCCACUCAGGCUCCUGUCCAACCCUCAGUCCCAGCCAUCUUGUGGCAUGGACAGGUCUCCACUCAGGGCCCUUCCAGAAGCUUCCUGGGGUGGGACUUGCAGGCCAGUGCAUCAGGAGGCACACACACAGAGGACCUUGUCCUGAAUGACAAGAGGACUUGAGUGCCCAGGACCAGCUGGUCAGGAAGGAUGCACAGAUGCCUGGGGCAGCAGAGGGAGAUGUGACCAUGGGGAGGAGGAGGAGGAAGCAGGAGGGGAGGUAGCCACACCGACCAGCUCCUCCCGGUGGGUGUGGGGCCCAGAACUUCCCCCACUGUAGAUGAGGUGAGUGGACACAGCAGGUGGUCUGCCAGAAGCCACCAGCACAAUGCCCUGCCCCCAUUGGCAUGGCCCUCCCACAAGCACAUCAGGAAGGGAUGUCUGCUGGCCUGUCCAUGCCCAGAGGCCCCAGGCCUUCCCCUUUCAGGUUAGGAAUUGGCAGCCUAGAGAAGCAGGGGAGGUCCUAGUGCCCCCCAGCCGUGGAGACCAGGCCCAGCUGGUCUGGGAGCUCAAGUCCUUUGGACCCUGGGAAGCGCAGCCCCCCUUCCUUCUGAGAUGGCACUGUGGGAACUCAAGGCAGGCGGGGGGCGGGGCUGGAUAGAAAGCUCAGUGGGAAGACGGAUGGAUGGGUCAAUGAAGUGACAAAAAGUGGAUGACAGACAGUGGGUAAGUGAGGGCUGAGUGGCUGGUGAGCAGGUGGGUGGAUGGAUCCAGGCGAGGAGAAGGGUAGUGGGACUGCCUGGGUGACAGAGCAAGAUGAACAGGUGGGUGGGCAGGAGGAUGACUGUGGAGAGACAGAGGAACGGCCAGGGUGCCAGUAGAUAGAGGGACCCCUGGGUGGGCAGACGGGAAAGGCGGCGGGGGACGGGGGGGGGGGCCCGCCCGGCUGCUGCAGCAGGUGCCUUUGCCUCGCGCACCUGGCCUUCUGCAUCUCUAAAGGGCGCCGUGCUAGCUGCCGAGGGGACUGGCCCUGAACGGCUGCAGGCAGGGGGCCUCGUGUGUCUGCUGCCUCCCACCUGCUCCCCUGUCGUGCCUGGUACUGCCCACUGGUGGCCAGCCCAGACUGACCCUCCCCUGUCUCCCUCUGUUAGCCGACGAGGAAGACGAGGAUGAAACUGCCAACUGCCUGUGGCGACCCCUGAGGACCCCGGAAGGGCCCAGUCCACCUGAACCUGACCCCCUGGACUUCCGAGGAGCUCUCCGUGCAUCCACCUCCUCACCCUCCCUGCCUGCCUCCCUGGCAUCUGUGCCCCCAGGGGCCGCGGGCAUGGGUUCCUUUGGGCCCUCCCCACCUUCCUCAGCACCAGCAUCUACGCUGCCCCUGCCCUCCGGGAGGACCCUGUGCACAGCGUCUGAGGCCUCCGUGUUUGAGCAGCAGCUGCUGGACUCCCACCUGCGGCAGGGUGCCCUGCUGGCCUCCUGGUCGCAGCAGCAGGGUGCGCUGAUGGCCCAGCAGAACCUGCUGCUGCAGCGGCUGGCGGAGCAGAGCCAGCGGCUGGCUGAUGGUGUCGAGGCCCUCAGCCGGACCCUGGAGCGGCUGGUGGCAGUGCGCCCAGCCCAGGAGGGCUCACCCUCCAUCCUAGAAGGUAGCCCUGCUGCUGGAGGGGCCUGUGGACCCACCAGAGGCCCCCAGGACAGUCCCCAGGGUGCCCACCCAGGCCCAGAGGUCUUCUCGGGGCUGAUCCUGAAGGUGGAGGAAGAGCUGUAGGACUGGCCCAGGGUCCCCUUUGGCACCAGGCCAGGGAGAGGACAAGGACUGAGGAAGCCUGGAGAGGGUGUGGGGCGUCUCCCCACGGUGCCUUUCUGUCCCUGGCCUUGGGUGGGUGUGGCGACCUGCCAGUCUGGCCUCAGCACCAACCUGCUGGUCCAGGCCAGGGUCUACUCAGGACAGUGGCAGUGAGUCUGACCUCCCCCUGCCUGGAGCCCCCUGGGCCCGUGGCUGCCGUUGGCUGCGGGUCACCUCUGCAGGCCGGCACCAGUGGGGGGAGGUGGGGAAAAGACGCUCAGCCCGGGGCCUCGGAGCCCUGGGGAGUGGGGACUUGGCAGCUGCGCGGGCUCAGAGGGCCCGGGCUCGGCUCCUUGAUUCUGGUUCAGGGGAGCCCCGUCCGUGAGCCUGGAGUUAAUUCUCUUCAAUUUUAUAUCAAUGUCAUAAAUACAUAAAUGCAGACAUGAAUGUUAAUUGGUACUGCAUGGG
rnacentral:lncRNA from 1 species